UACGUAGGGUGCAAGCGUUGUCCGGAAUCAUUGGGCGUAAAGAGCGUGUAGGCGGCCCGGUAAGUCCGCUGUGAAAGUCAAGGGCUCAACCCUUGAAUGCCGGUGGAUACUGCAGGGCUAGAGUCCGGAAGAGGCGAGUGGAAUUCCUGGUGUAGCGGUGAAAUGCGCAGAUAUCAGGAGGAACACCGAUGGCGAAGGCAGCUCGCUGGGACGGUACUGACGCUGAGGCGCGAAAGCGUGGGGAGCAAACAGG
rnacentral:rRNA from 1 species